AAUUCAUCGGCGCGGCGGCUGUCGUGUUUCAAAACUCCUCCGUUAAAUUCUUCGAUUUAACCUCUUAAUUUGCAAAUGAAGACAUUUUUAGAUGGAUCGUGAUUGAAGACCGGUUCCCUAUUUGCAAGAGCAUGGUGAAAAACAAGGACUUAGGCUGGAAUGGUGGCCCGAGAUGCAAAGAGUGGAUAUGUACAACUGUCUGCAAAGUGAAGAUCUUCUCAGUGAUAUGAAAAUCAGACCGCCUUCGGAAAGCCCCAACUAGUGUAUCGGCUACGGUCUUGCAUACACGUAAGAGAGAUGAUGGGUACCCCGCACAUAGGAAUCGCCCUCUGGCUAGAGAGGAUACAACUGUCAAAGUACAACCACACGUUCAGGAGGUACACUGGAGUCGAGCCUGUUUCGAGAUCAGGGGCAUGGAUGUCUCCGAGAUUGUUCAAGAGAUACCCAGCACCAUAUUACUGCAGGAAAAGACGACAUGAUUUGGUUGCAUAAGCUAAGUAUCCACUGACAAACAAUCAAAAAGGGAUGGUAACUUGUGUGCCUCCUAGCUCCCCUGUAAAUAUACAACUUGAAAUGAUUCGUUGCCUGGGAUCUUAGGCGAAGUGAGAGCUGCUGAAACAGAUGCCAGUCAUUGGACUUGUGACAGUGAUGGCUUGCCUGUUCAGGAACGGAAAUGUGCGAUUGGCCAAUUUGAGGACAACCAAAAGUUGACACCACAUUGCAUUUACAGGCUUUGACAACAUCACAAUAGGCCACUGAGACUGAGGACGAGUCUGUGACAGGAUGCCUUGUCGCAUAUCUACAAGGUAGCUGCCUCGCUAAGGCAACCUUGCUAUGAUGAGAACAGCCACUCAAUGAAAGGAUGAAUGCGACCAGGAUGUCCAAGUUGGAGAAAAG